AAAGCUGGAGUUGAGUCUUCAACCUUAAAUCCCCUGUGGGACUGCAGGGGUGAAGAACAGGACUUCUUCAAAACAAAGGAAAAAAUUCCUGCAAUCUCCUUACCCCCCGCCCCAGCCUUGGAGUGUGCUCUGCAUGCCGAGUGCUCUGAGGUAAUGGGACUCGUGUUUGCUUUGCUUGAAUGUAAAACUGGUGCUGAAAUGUACAUUUUCAGUCGCCUGACAUCCCGAGGAGCUGUUUGUCUGUCAGUGUGCUGAGGCUGUGCGCGGUUUCCCUCUUGCCCUUGGCUGGAGGUGGCUGCAGCCAUUGGCUCUCGAGCCUCUGCCAU
rnacentral:lncRNA from 1 species